GUCAAGCGAACAAGUGCAUGU
rnacentral:rRNA from 1 species